ensembl:lncRNA MIR124-1HG MIR124-1 host gene
UCCAGAAAGCUUUAAUGUGUGUGGGAGUGUUCUGGGUCUAUUAGGUCUGUGCGCAUGGGUGUGGGCAUUUGCCUGUGUCCACCGGGUGGGUCUCAUUAUGAAAUGUAUGUUUAUGUAGGGCUUUAAUGGCUGAAAAUGGCAAAGAGAUGAAUAGACCACUUGGCCCCAUGUGUAAUUGCCAGGCCCCUUCUGUGCUCAAAUGAGGUGUCCGAGUGAAGGUCAGCCCUUCCCUUCUGUAUUUGGGGCCUAUUUAUGCCACCAGUAAUUUUAUAAGAAAUCUGAAUAGUUCUCCCCUUUGAGUGCAUUUAACUCUUUAGUAUCUUCUCUCUUACCUAUUUGAGCCCCUCUAGCUACAGUCUGGCUUAAAUGAAAGGGGAAUUAUAUGCUUAAGAAAAAGUAGGACACGGUUGAGGCAGUUUGCUGACUGAAUACGCGAAGAAGGACCUGAUGGGCUCAUAUGCACCACUGCCAUCACAGUCCCCAUCGUGAUGCAAGCUUAUAUGAUUCUUGAGGUAACUCUACCAGAUACUUCCAGAUUUAGAAAUGUGUCAAAGGAAAAAUUGGUGAUACUCUUCUUUCCCCUGCCAGAAACAGCCCAGAUCUCCUCUUAAGCGGAAAAGAGAUUGACCUUCUAGCAGAGGCAAAGAAUGGAGUCUUCUGGGGGCAGCUGCAAAGCGUUCUCCCUAGGACAGAUGGAGCCUCCCUUUCCUCAUCUACUCUGUGGGUGGUUUCAGGGCCCACGAGUCAACAUGAGGAGUUGUGCUGGUGGUAUGUGUGUUGGAGGCUGGGCUGGCUGAUUCACAGUGACGAGGAUGUCAAUAAUAACAAGAAUGAGAAUGAUGAUACCUAAUAAAGACUUUUUUUCCCAA